CAUCCAGAGAACUUUCCAGAGAUGGAUUGGUGCCUUCGGGAACUCUGAGACAGGUGCUGCAUGGCUGUCGUCAGCUCGUGUUGUGAAAUGUUGGGUUAAGUCCCGCAACGAGCGCAACCCUUAUCCUUGUUUGCCAGCGAGUAAUGUCGGGAACUCCAGGGAGACUGCCGGUGAUAAACCGGAGGAAGGUGGGGACGACGUCAAGUCAUCAUGGCCCUUACGAGUAGGGCUACACACGUGCUACAAUGGCGCAUACAGAGGGCGGCCAACUUGCGAAAGUGAGCGAAUCCCAAAAAGUGCGUCGUAGUCCGGAUUGGAGUCUGCAACUCGACUCCAUGAAGUCGGAAUCGCUAGUAAUCGUGGAUCAGAAUGCCACGGUGAAUACGUUCCCGGGCCUUGCACACACCGCCCGU
rnacentral:rRNA from 1 species